rnacentral:rRNA from 1 species
UUCCAGACUCCUACGGGAGGCAGCAGUGGGGAAUAUUGCACAAUGGGGGAAACCCUGAUGCAGCGACGCCGCGUGAGUGAAGAAGUAUUUCGGUAUGUAAAGCUCUAUCAGCAGGGAAGAAAAAAGACGGUACCUGACUAAGAAGCCCCGGCUAACUACGUGCCAGCAGCCGCGGUAAUACGUAGGGGGCAAGCGUUAUCCGGAAUUACUGGGUGUAAAGGGUGCGUAGGUGGCAUGGUAAGUCAGAAGUGAAAGCCCGGGGCUUAACCCCGGGACUGCUUUUGAAACUGUCAUGCUGGAGUGCAGGAGAGGUAAGCGGAAUUCCUAGUGUAGCGGUGAAAUGCGUAGAUAUUAGGAGGAACACCAGUGGCGAAGGCGGCUUACUGGACUGUCACUGACACUGAUGCACGAAAGCGUGGGGAGCGAACAGGAUUAGAUACCCCGGUAAC